GAUGAACGCUGACAGAAUGCUUAACACAUGCAAGUCAACUUGAAUUUGGGUUUUUAACUUAGGUUUGGGUGGCGGACGGGUGAGUAACGCGUAAAGAACUUGCCUCCCAGCUAGGGACAACAUUUGGAAACGAAUGCUAAUACCUAAUAUUAUGAUACUAGGGCAUCCUAUAAUUAUGAAAGCUAUAAGCGCUGUGAGAGAGCUUUGCGUCUCAUUAGCUAGUUGGAGAGGUAACGGCUCACCAAGGCGAUGAUGGGUAGCCGGCCUGAGAGGGUGAUCGGCCACAAGGGGACUGAGACACGGCCCUUACUCCUACGGGAGGCAGCAGUGGGGAAUAUUGGACAAUGGACCGAGAGUCUGAUCCAGCAAUUCUGUGUGCACGAUGAAGUUUUUCGGAAUGUAAAGUGCUUUCAGUUGGGAAGAAACAAAUGACGGUACCAACAGAAGAAGUGACGGCUAAAUACGUG
rnacentral:rRNA from 1 species